CACUCCUGCGGGAGGCAGCAGUGGGGAAUAUUGGACAAUGGGCGCAAGCCUGAUCCAGCCAUGCCGCGUGAGUGAUGAAGGCCCUAGGGUUGUAAAGCUCUUUCACCGGUGAAGAUAAUGACGGUAACCGGAGAAGAAGCCCCGGCUAACUUCGUGCCAGCAGCCGCGGUAAUACGAAGGGGGCUAGCGUUGUUCGGAUUUACUGGGCGUAAAGCGCACGUAGGCGGACUAUUAAGUCAGGGGUGAAAUCCCGGGGCUCAACCCCGGAACUGCCUUUGAUACUGGUAGUCUUGAGUUCGAGAGAGGUUAGUGGAAUUCCGAGUGUAGAGGUGAAAUUCGUAGAUAUUCGGAGGAACACCAGUGGCGAAGGCGGCUCACUGGCUCGAUACUGACGCUGAGGUGCGAAAGCGUGGGGAGCAAACAGGAUUAGAUACCCGAGUAGUCCCA
rnacentral:rRNA from 1 species